rnacentral:lncRNA from 1 species
AUAGAACCUCACUAUAGUUGUGAAAUAUUAUUAUUAAUCUCAUAUCAUUUAAAUCAUUUGAUUGACCUUAAUGAAACCACUUUUUUUCAUCAUAGGUGUAUCAUUUUGGAGUUCAAGUCAAACUUAGAGUCGGUAUGGGAAGAAAAAAACAAACAACUAUGAAUCUAACUUUGGUGAAUAUUAACAUAUACUCUGAUAUUGACACGAUCACAUUAAUAUUAAUUUAGAAUAAAUAAAUAUAUUAAAUAUAAUUAUAAAUAUUUAUACCCGUAUUUGGUACUGACAUGGAUACAUAGCAUUUUUUCAAAGGUGUUGUGCCAUGAUUAAUAAAAGGGAAAUUAUCGUUGUCACAAUUUCACAAAUUCAAUUAUCUAUUUACUUUGGGAAAAAUUUAUAUGACCAGUGUUUCAAUCUAAUUUUAAUUAUCUAAUCUCAACGUGAUUUAGGUUUUGUUUGCUAUAUGAAGACGUACAAAAACACAGCAUUUCAACGUACAGUCUGCUCGACAUAGGCAGGACACGGGAAUGUUACUAGGAAAUACAGAUGGAGUAAUUCACAAUUCAGAAUUUCGUUUUCACCAAGUUUACUCAACUCUUUCAUCGAAUAAGAAGAAAAUUUACAUGCUGUACAAUUCUCUAUAGUAACCUGGAUUUUUUUCUUAGCAACACCUCCCUUUCUAUAUCUAACUAUACUCUGUAUAAUUUGAAUGCUAACAACAUUUCAAUUCAUAAUUAAAUAAAUAGCUAAUAAUGAAAAGACUUUUUAUGCUACAAUCUGCUCUGCCCAUGGAGAUGACAUUUGUUUAAAGAGAUCAUAAUGCUGCUUCUCAGCACCAUAUACCUCAGAACUCUCGGAAGAAACCAAAGAAUGAACCCAAGAGACAUCCGGCUCAACAAUAUUCUGCUGGUGACACACCUACCAUAGAAUUUCUAAAACCCAAAAGAAGCUGACUUUU